AGUCGCCGUCGCGUAGGCGCCGAUAGGGCCGGGCCGGUUCCGAGCCGGCCGUGCGCACCCGUCGGCGCAACCGUUCGAUCUCGUCAGCGACCCC
rnacentral:tRNA from 1 species